GUCGUGCGAGAAAGAUCUUCGGAUAUGAGUAGAGCGGCGGACGGGUGAGUAACGCGUAGGAAUCUACCUAGUAGAAGGGGAUAGCCCGGGGAAACUCGGAUUAAUACCGUAUACCUCCUUUGGGAGAAAGAAGGCCUCUCUUUGAAGCUUUCGCUACUAGAUGAGCCUGCGUAAGAUUAGCUUGUUGGUGAGGUAAAGGCUCACCAAGGCAACGAUCUUUAGCGGGUCUGAGAGGACGAUCCGCCACAUUGGGACUGAGACACGGCCCAGACUCCUACGGGAGGCAGCAGUGGGGAAUAUUGGACAAUGGGCGCAAGCCUGAUCCAGCCAUACCGCGUGUGUGAAGAAGGCCCUAGGGUUGUAAAGCACUUUAAGUUGGGAAGAAAAGUUAUUGGUUAAUACCCAAUAACCGUGACAUUACCUUCAGGAUAAGGACCGGCUAAUUCCGUGCCAGCAGCCGCGGUAAUACGGAAGGUCCAAGCGUUAAUCGGAAUUACUGGGCGUAAAGCGCGCGUAGGUGGUUUAUUAAGUUGGAUGUGAAAUCCCCGGGCUCAACCUGGGAACUGCAUCCAAAACUAAUUCACUAGAGUACGAUAGAGGGAGGUAGAAUUCACAGUGUAGCGGUGGAAUGCGUAGAUAUUGUGAAGAAUACCAAUGGCGAAGGCAGCCUCCUGGAUCUGUACUGACACUAAGGUGCGAAAGCGUGGGUAGCGAACAGGAUUAGAUACCCUGGUAGUCCACGCCGUAAACGAUGUCAACUAGCUGUUGGGAAACAAUGUUUUUCAGUGGCGCAGCUAACGUAGUAAGUUGACCGCCUGGGGAGUACGGCCGCAAGGCUAAAACUCA
rnacentral:rRNA from 1 species